rnacentral:rRNA from 1 species
AUUGAACGCUGGCGGCAGGCCUAACACAUGCAAGUCGAACGAGUGGCGGACGGGUGAGUAAGGUCUGGGAAACUGCCCGAUGGAGGGGGAUAACUACUGGAAACGGUAGCUAAAACCGCACACCAUCGGAUGUGCCCAGAUGGGAUGAGCUUGUUGGUGGGGUAACGGCUCACCAAGGCGACGAUCCCUAGCGGGUCUGAGAGGAUGACCGGCCACACUGGAACUGAGACACGGUCCAGACUCCUACGGGAGGCAGCAGUGGGGAAUCUUGGACAAUGGGCGCAAGCCUGAUGCAGCCAUGCCGCGUGUGUGAAGAAGGCCUUCGGGUUGUAAAGUACUUUCAGCGGAGAGGCGUUACUCACAGAAGAAGCACCGGCUAACUCCGUGCCAGCAGCCGCGGUAAUUC